rnacentral:rRNA from 1 species
CGAACGGGUGAGUAAUAUAUACGGAACGUAACCCGGAAAGUGGGGGAUAACGUAGCGAAAGUUACGCUAAUACCGCAUAUGCCCUAAGGGGGAAAGCGGGGGAUUCGCAAGAACCUCGCGUUUUCGGAGCGGCCGAUAUCGGAUUAGCUAGUAGGUGAGGUAAAGGCUCACCUAGGCGACGAUCCGUAGCUGGUCUGAGAGGACGACCAGCCACACUGGAACUGAGACACGGUCCAGACUCCUACGGGAGGCAGCAGUGGGGAAUUUUGGACAAUGGGCGCAAGCCUGAUCCAGCCAUGCCGCGUGAGUGAAGAAGGCCUUCGGGUUGUAAAGCUCUUUCAGCCGGAAAGAAAACGCACGGGUUAAUAACCUGUGUGGAUGACGGUACCGGAAGAAGAAGCACCGGCUAACUACGUG